rnacentral:rRNA from 1 species
AGAUUGAACGCUGGCGGCAUGCUUUACACAUGCAAGUCGAACGGUAACAGGCCGCAAGGUGCUGACGAGUGGCGAACGGGUGAGUAAUGUAUCGGAACGUGCCCAGUCGUGGGGGAUAACGCAGCGAAAGCUGCGCUAAUACCGCAUACGAUCUAUGGAUGAAAGCGGGGGACCGUAAGGCCUCGCGCGAUUGGAGCGGCCGAUAUCAGAUUAGGUAGUUGGUGGGGUAAAGGCUCACCAAGCCAACGAUCUGUAGCUGGUCUGAGAGGACGACCAGCCACACUGGGACUGAGACACGGCCCAGACUCCUACGGGAGGCAGCAGUGGGGAAUUUGGACAAUGGGCGCAAGCCUGGUCCAGCAAUGCCGCGUGCAGGAAGAAGGCCUUCGGUUGUAACUGCUUUAGUACGGAACGAAACGGUCCUGGUUAAUACCGUGGGCUAAGUGAACGGUACCGUAAGAAUAACGACACCGCUAACUACGUGCCAGCAGCG